UUAGGAAUUUUGGGCAAUGGGCGAAAGCCUGACCCAGCAACGCCGCGUGGGUGACGAAGGCCUUCGGGUCGUAAAGCCCUUUUCUGAGGGACGAUGAUGACGGUACCUCAGGAAUAAGCAUCGGCUAACUACGUGCCAGCAGCCGCGGUAAUACGUAGGAUGCGAGCGUUGUCCGGAUUUACUGGGCGUAAAGAGCGCGCAGGUGGCUAGGUAAGUUUGGCGUGAAAGCCCCCGGCUUAACUGGGGUAGGUCGUUGAAAACUACUUAGCUUGAGUGCAGCAGAGGAAAGUGGAAUUCCCGGUGUAGUGGUGAAAUGCGUAGAUAUCGGGAGGAACACCAGUGGCGAAAGCGGCUUUCUGGGCUGCAACUGACGCUGAGGCGCGAAAGCGUGGGGAGCGAACCGG
rnacentral:rRNA from 2 species